rnacentral:rRNA from 1 species
AGGGUUCGAUUCUGGCUCAGGAUGAACGCUAGCUACAGGCUUAACACAUGCAAGUCGAGGGGCAGCAUGGUCUUAGCUGCUAAGGCUGAUGGCGACCGGCGCACGGGUGAGUAGCGCGUAUCCAACCUUCCCCUUAGUAGGGCAUAGCCCGGCGAAAGUCGGAUUAAUACCCUAUGUUGUCAAUAGAGGACAUCUGAAGCUGACCAAAGGUUUACCGCUAAGGGAUGGGGAUGCGUCUGAUUAGGUUGCAGGCGGGGUAACGGCCCACCUGGCCGACGAUCAGUAGGGGUUCUGAGAGGAAGGUCCCCCACACUGGUACUGAGACACGGACCAGACUCCUCCGGGAGGCAGCAGUGAGGAAUAUUGGUCAAUGGGCGCGAGCCUGAACCAGCCAAGUAAGCGUGCAGGAUGACGGCCCUAUGGGUUGUAAACUGCUUUUAUACGGGGAUAAAGUUCACCACGUGUGGUGUUUUGUAGGUACCGUAUGAAUAAGGACCGGCUAAUUCCGUGCCAGCCGCGGC